CACGUACCCGGCCGCGGCCCGGUCCAAGCCCUCGCCGCCGCCGUCCGCCGCCGCGAGCCCGAACCCUAACCCGCCGGCCACCUUCGCCGCCAGCGCCCCCGUCAGCAGCACGUUCGACGACCGGAUGUCCCGGUGGAUCACCGCCCGCCCCGCGUGCUCGUGAAGAUCAGGAUUAGUUUAGUUUAUCUGAAUCCAAAAAAUUCAGGGACUGCAAUGAACUGAACGAUGAUCAGUUCAGAUUAACACGCACCGUCCAAGUGUUCCCUCAACGAGCCAUUGUCGACAUGCUCGAAGACCAUCAGCGUCUCGUCCUUCUGCUCGACUGAUCCGAGGAACCUCACGAGGUUCGGGUGCUCCAUCUUCUGGAGCGUUCCGAGGUCCCUGCCAAGUUCAGUAGACAGAUUCCGGCCGCCGCCUAACUGCAACAAACAAUGAACAGCAGCUGAUCAGUACGCAGUACUCCGGUAGUCCAGUCCAUCAGGCUCCAUGAACAAUUAACAAGUCAUUCGUGACCUUUCUGGCACGUUUGACGGCGAUUUGUGACCCGUCCUUGAGCGUGCCUCUGUAGACGCUGCCGGAACCUCCCUGCCUCACCAAGUUCUUCUCGCUGAAGUUCGAGGUCGCGUUGGAGAUGUCCGCAACGGUGAGUACUUCUGAACUGUCCCUGCCUCUUCCUGCUGCAACCAAUACUCGGAUUUUUGUAAGGAUUUCUCAUGCUCGUAUUGGCAAAAUUGCCUUGCCGGAGAUAAAUGAUUCGGAGUUUCAGACAGAGGUGUGCGUGGAGUCCUGGUGAUAGAUACCUGAAUCUGUGGAGACAUGGUAGCCUGCACUCCUGCUGCCCUGAGAGUGAGAAUUGCCCGAUUUGCUUCUGCUCCCGUGGGAAAGAGAAGUCUCCCGUUCUUCAUCGGCCUUGGCUUUCCUGACCCGGGGCACGAAGCAACCGCUGAACACGCCGGCGACGCCCCGCGCGGCGACCCUGAAGGACGAGCUGCUGCUGCGAGUCGUCGAGCUCCGGCUCAUCUGCGAAGCCGGCGCGCUGUACGAGGAGGCCUGGCGCCGGUAGGCAGGGUACCCGUCACCAUAGGAGGUAGAAGAGGCCUUGCUGUACCCGCUUAGGCUGCUGCCGGUGAUGCUGAUGCUGGGCUGCCUCUUGGCUGCAGGCAAUUCCAUGGCGGGAAGGAACAGAGGAGGAGAAGCUUGGUUGAUCUGCUUUGCUACUGCUUGUGCUGCUGUUGUUGGUGUUCCACGGAUCAUGCCAUGGGGAUUAGGGAUGAGAUCGAUGGUGGUCAACGGCGGCUCGCCGGAGGUUGCCGGGUCAACGGGGCCUGCUUGCUUGGAGGGAGGGCCUGUGCUGCUACGCGUGCAGGCUGCUGCCGCUGCGUGGAUUCUGCACCAUUUGCUGAUUUGUUUGACCUCAAGGAGAGUAGCGAGAUAAUAUAUCUUGGUGAUUUCUUGGUGGAAUAUUGAUUUCGUCUUGUUCGUGGAAUGUUUUGUUUUGUUUUGUUGUUGCUCGUGGAAUGUUUAUGCCUGACUACCUGUCACUGUUUUCGGUUUGUGUUUAAAGGCAGAGCUAGGGACUUGGUCAUGGUGGAUUUUUGGUCUAUUUGUGUGGUUUGGGAAGCA